rnacentral:tmRNA from 1 species
GGGGCUGACCGGAAUUGACGGGUAGAGCACUUGGGAUGUAAGCAUGUAGAGCUUUGUUUGCUGGCUCUUAAAUCCUAACAUUCAAACUCUAAGAGGCGAAAAUAACUUCGCAAUGGCUGCCUAGUCUCAGACUACGCACCGCCAUACACCUACAGUGUCCUUAUCUGGGCCGAUACUGAAAUGGGUGUUCGACAUGCCUGGGUAUGUUUUUGUAGUGGUUAUAUGCAAUUACAUUAUUUAAUAACCUAAGGUUUAAAUUGGCUAUCCUUAGGCUUUUUUACUCCUGACACCCAAGUAAGGAUAAACAUGUAGAAAGCGUCAUCAUUUCCUACUCCGGACGAGGGUUCGAAUCCCUCCAGCUCCACGG